CCAAGUGGCGACUCUGAGUUUAAAUGUAAAUAAUCCUUUUCGAAACAAAAUUUUCAUUUUUUGUCACUUUAAUAAUGAAAACCCUUUCGAAACCCAUAAAAAUGAAUCUUUUGGAGUUAAAAAAGGGGUGUGACAGCUCUAGCGACUCUGUUGGGGAUUUUUUUAGAAUUCAAGCUUAUUUUGGAGUUGUAUCGACUUAGUUUGAUGCUAUAGGUGUAUAGACAUUUUGUUUGUGUUAUUUUGUGUUAUUGUUUAUCAUUGUUAAGUGUCUACGUGCUCUUUGUUUAUAGUUUUUAUCUUAUGUGUUACCGCUUUAUAUCUGGCAUCAUAUGCAUAACCCGAGUCAUUCUUUCUGCAACAAGUGUAGUACACGCUGUGUACACGACCUAUAUUUGAGUUACCUUUAUUUUAGGAGGGGGGAGCCGUUGGCUGAUAUGGAGUAGGUGGACAGCUAAAGCAGCCACUAUCGACCAUACGCUCCCCCGAACAGCUUUGUUAGUGAACCCCAGCGUAGGUCAGCCUUUAGGUCAUACUUAUGUGCAUCAUAUUGAGACCUAGCGGGGCUCAUUUGGUCUUUUAUAGGAGACUCACCUCUACCGCAUCCCUACGUGCUAAAUAUUACAUUUUUGAGGGUAAUGAGGUCUUUUGACGGACUAAUUUAGCGAAACAUGUAUUAGAAAUAAAGUGUGUAGGCAAUGAAAAAAAGUGAGUCCAAGAAAAAGAAAAAAAAGAGAGAGUUUCGUAGUUUUUAGAGUUCUUUAGGGCUUUUGCUUUUCACAAUCUAAAAAUUCAAAAAAAAUCUUUUUACCUUUUGCACUCAUUUGUCAAAAUAAAAAAUGUCACACCCCUUUUUUCACCAAAAAAGAUUGUAUUUUAAGUUCGAAAGGGUUUUUAUUGUUAAAGUGACAAAAGUGAAGCUUUAUUUCGAAAAUGACUUUUUAUAUUCAAAACUCAGAGUCGCCACUUGGCAUAAUCCGGUGUGCCAAGUCACCUUUAGACAAUCCUUUUCAAAAUAAUUUGACUCUUUAAAACUGGUUUGCGAACAGAGAUUCCGGCUAAAGAAUUAUGUUGACCGAGGGGAAGGUGUUAGGCACCCCUCAAUCCCGUGGGUUGACCACAGUCGGUUGGUGGAGCGUAUCGACUGAUUUGACACUAAAAACGUAUAAACCACACAAAAACACACAAAACAAUCAAACAAACAAAAAUAAAAUAAUCCAAAAAUAUAGUGUCCAGUCCGAGUUAUACAGUCCCAAAAUAUAAAAAUACGAAAAUGUAAUUCCUAUUCUAAAUUAAUUCUAAACUAUGCUCCAAUACCUUACCCGAUGCCUCGAUCCUUCAUCACGAACAUCCUCCGAGUACAAAAUACUUCGGGGCAUUCCUCGGUGAAUAAACACAAAUACCUCGGGGUAUUCUCCGGGAAAAUGAUACACUUGAUCCAAAAAGAAAACAACCAAACUAAUCCAUUCAACACAUAUUUCAAGCAUUCAAUAUUCCAAGUCCUAAAUUUGCCUACCCGACCUACUUUGCCAAUCAAUACUCGGCCUAAACGUUGUAUUAUCGAAGUUAUCCAAAAUUGAUAUCUAUUCUGAAUUGAGCAAUCAACAAUAAUGAAUCAAAAUGCAACAAUAUUUACUUUAUCAAUUUUUCGAUCUCUUUCCCCAAAAUCCAACUUAACCCCAAAUCAAACUACGCGAUUAAAAUACUUCGCAACCAGAUUGACAAUUAAAUAACAACGAGUGAAAUUGCUCCAAUCAGAAUCAACCAAAAUCACACCAUUCAAAAACAUUCACAACAAUAGGAACAAAAGAUGAAGAAUCGACCUCAAUUGAUGACUUUAUUUCGACAAUUUGUGAUGGAUCGGAGCUCACGAACGGGACCUCAUUGAAAUCUCAAAUCGAAAUGGAGCAUCAUGGAAAGCAGUCGAAUCUGACAGUUUUCCCUUAUUCAAACCACUCAUUGUUCUCGAUCUUUUCGUAUAUUUAAACUCCUCCGGCCAGCACUCUCUCUCGAUUAAUUUUCUUCCUCACGUAGAUCUCUCUCUACCUCUCUCGAAUCUCUUCUCUGUCUUGGUUGCUCUCUAUGUUUCUCUUUCUCUCCCCAAUUUCCGUAUGUAUGUGUGUGUGUUACAGAAAGAAGAAAAGAAGAGAGCCAAAUUGGCGUCUCUCUGAAGAUGAUGAUAAUCUUUCUCUCUCCCCGAUUUUAGCUUCUCCCCUGCCUCUGAUCUGUGCGUGUACUGAUAUAUCGAUGGGAGGUCUAAGGUGGGUUCGAGAUAUGGUUGUGCGUGUGUAUAUUUUCUAGUAUGUGCAUGUAUAUUGUUUUGUUGAAGAUGAGUGAAGAAGAUCCGUUCUUGUGGGUGUCUUUUUAUCCCUCUCUAAUGGGUAUCCAUCCUAUUGUUUUUGGAUGAUAUCUAUCUCAAUGGAGAAAAUGUUGUGUAUAUCUCCAUAUGGAAAAUGGAAGUCCUCCCUAAU
rnacentral:lncRNA from 1 species